GAUGAACGCUGGCGGUACGUCUGACACAUGCAAGUCGAACGGUAAGCCACCUUCGGGUGGCCUAGAGUGGCGAACGGCUGAGUAACACGUAGGAACCUACCCCUCAGUUCGGGAUAACGGGACGAAAGCCCCGCUAAUACCGGAUAAUAUCGAAAGAUUGAAAGGUUUAUCUGCUGAGGGAGGGGCCUGCGGGCUAUUAGCUUGAUGGUGGGGUAACGGCUCACCAUGGCGAUGAUGGCUAGCUGGUCUGAGAGGAUGAUCAGCCAGACUGGGACUGAGACACGGCCCAGACUCCUACGGGAGGCAGCAGUUCAGAAUCUUGCACAAUGGGCGAAAGCCUGAUGCAGCGAUACCGCGUGGGUGAAGAAGGCCUU
rnacentral:rRNA from 1 species